rnacentral:rRNA from 1 species
UACGAAGGGGGCUAGCGUUGCUCGGAAUUACUGGGCGUAAAGGGCGCGUAGGCGGACAGCUUAGUCAGAGGUAAAAGCCCAGGGCUCAACCUUGGAACUGCCUUUGAUACUGGCUGUCUUGAGUUCGGGAGAGGUGAGUGGAAUGCCGAGUGUAGAGGUGAAAUUCGUAGAUAUUCGGCGGAACACCAGUGGCGAAGGCGACUCACUGGCCCGAUACUGACGCUGAGGCGCGAAAGCGUGGGGAGCAAACAGGG